AGAAAUGGCAUUAUUCACCCAUUUUUCAGAACACAUGGAGCUCAAAAGGACAAAGACAGUUCUACCUAUCACCAUGGAGUGCAGUGGUUAAAAUAAAACUCAUCUUCCAGCCAAGAUGGAAGGAGCUGGGGUCCCUGGCUGAGAGUGGUUCCUGGAAGACAGCUGGCCUAGAGGGACCGUGCAUCCCAGAUUCCUCGGCAGCUGACCAAUGUCAUGUGACUAGUUAUGACCAAUGGAAUAUGAGCAGAAAUGACAAAUGUCCUUCAGAGUCAGGGCCACUUCUGGGGUCCUUGGAUGACAGAGAUAAAUAAACUUCUAACUGCCUUUUGGGGUUUGUUUGUUACAUCAGCUAGUGCUACCCUAAAUCAUAAACCCAAUAAAUUGCAUGAGCC